CCACCGUGGCGACGAUGCGUAGGGGUUCUGAGAGGAAGGUCCCCCACACUGGUACUGAGACACGGACCAGACUCCUACGGGAGGCAGCAGUGAGGAAUAUUGGUCAAUGGGAGAGAUCCUGAACCAGCCAAGCCGCGUGAGGGAAGACGGCCCUAUGGGUUGUAAACCUCUUUUGUCGGAGAACAAAACCCGGGACGAGUCCCGGACUGCGUGUAUCCGAAGAAAAAGCAUCGGCUAACUCCGUGCCAGCAGCCGCGGUAAUACGGAGGAUGCGAGCGUUAUCCGGAUUUAUUGGGUUUAAAGGGUGCGUAGGCGGUCCGUUAAGUCAGCGGUAAAAUUGCGGGGCUCAACCCCGUCGAGCCGUUGAAACUGGCAGACUUGAGUUGGCGAGAAGUACGCGGAAUGCGCGGUGUAGCGGUGAAAUGCAUAGAUAUCGCGCAGAACUCCGAUUGCGAAGGCAGCGUACCGGCGCCACACUGACGCUGAGGCACGAAAGCGUGGGGAUCGAACAGGAUUAGAUACCCUGGUAGUCCACGCAGUAAACGAUGAAUGCUGGUUGUCCGGGUCGAAUGAGAUCUGG
rnacentral:rRNA from 1 species